AUGGGCACUUCUACCAAGAAACUUAAAAUUCCACAAUAUGUGGCGAAGCUGAGCACAAACGAGUGGUACUUCUUCAGCUUCCGCGACCGCAAGUACGCGACGGGGCUGCGCACGAACCGCGCCACCAGGUCCGGCUACUGGAAGGCCACCGGCAAGGACCGCGUCAUCCGCAGCCCGAGGUCGUCGUCAUCCCUCUCCGGCCGUGCCGCCAUCGUCGGCAUGCGCAAGACCCUCGUGUUCUACCGCGGCCGUGCGCCCAAAGGCACCAAGACCUGCUGGGUCAUGCACGAGUUCCGCAUCGAGAACCCUCACUCCCCACCCAAGGAGGACUGGGUGUUGUGCAGAGUUUUCCACAAGAAGAAAGCCGACACGGACUACGCCAUGGAUGGCGAGCCGGAGCUCGGCGGCGGUGCCGUGUGCGGAUCCAACUACCUAAGCUCCUCGUCCUGCCACGAUCCGGAACAGUAUCACCACUCGCCUAUGGCGUCGUUCCCUUCCAUCGGCGCGGGCGGCGACCAUUACCAGCUCCUGCCCUGUGAUCAUCACCACCCACACGGCGCGGCAGGCGUCUCGCUCAACGAUGUCCACCCCUUUGACGGCAUGCCGCAACUGCUGAGCUAUGACAGUAUCCUCGACUUCAGCCAGCAAGUCCAGGGCGGACGCAGUGCAGCGGCUUGUUUGAGAGCCGGCGCAGAUGAUCAGUGUGAUGGGGCGCUGAUGGACCUAGGGCUGGAGGAGCACUACAACUACAACAGCUUGAUGUAG
rnacentral:rRNA from 1 species